UGAAAGUAGUUCCGGUGUGUUUAUGAGUGAAACUGCAGAAACUCAGUAACACAAAGCUACAGCUCAGAACACAGAGCAGAUUAAUACACAACUGAUCUGACCUAUAAACAUGGAAAAACACCUUUUUCUGAUUUUAAUUCUAAUUUCUGGUGUGAUGACUGCCGACCAGAUUGGGCCAAAUAAAGAAACUUUCAUCAUAAAGAAGGAAGACGAGACUGUGACUCUCAGCUGCUCAUAUACAACUAGCAGCAGUUAUCGUUAUCUUUACUGGUACAGACAGUAUGCUAAUAGUGAACCUCAAUAUUUAAUAUUUAAACCUGCCGGAUCAGCUACUACAAGUGGGAACCCCUCUGAUCCUCGCUUUCAGUCGACGACAUCAGAUUCAUCCACUGAACUCAUGAUUAACGGAGUAACUCUGUCAGAUUCAGCUCUCUAUUACUGUGCUCUAAGAGUUGGAGCCCAGUGAUACAAAAUCUAUGUGAAGCUGUACAAAAACUCGUAUUAAUUUUGCCCCUUUGAUGCCAAGCCACAUCAAACCCACAAU